rnacentral:rRNA from 1 species
GACGAACGCUGGCGGCGUGCUUAACACAUGCAAGUCGAACGAAGAGCGAUGGAAGCUUGCUUCUAUCAAUCUUAGUGGCGAACGGGUGAGUAACGCGUAAUCAACCUGCCCUUCAGAGGGGGACAACAGUUGGAAACGACUGCUAAUACCGCAUACGAUCUAAUCUCGGCAUCGAGGAAAGAUGAAAGGUGGCCUCUAUUUAUAAGCUAUCACUGAAGGAGGGGAUUGCGUCUGAUUAGCUAGUUGGAGGGGUAACGGCCCACCAAGGCGAUGAUCAGUAGCCGGUCUGAGAGGAUGAACGGCCACAUUGGGACUGAGACACGGCCCAGACUCCUACGGGAGGAAGCAGUGGGGAAUCUUCCGCAAUGGACGAAAGUCUGACGGAGCAACGCCGCGUGAGUGAUGACGGCCUUCGGGUUGUAAAGCUCUGUUAAUCGGGACGAAAGGCCUUCUUGCGAAAAGUUAGAAGGAUUGACGGUACCGGAAUAGAAAGCCACGGCUAACUACGUG